ACUCCUACGGGAGGCAGCAGUGGGGAAUAUUGCACAAUGGGCGGAAGCCUGAUGCAGCAACGCCGCGUGAGGGAUGACGGCCUUCGGGUUGUAAACCUCUUUUAGCAAGGAAGAAGCGAAAGUGACGGUACUUGCAGAAAAAGCGCCGGCUAAACUACGUGCCAGCAGCCGCGGUAAUACGUAGGCGCAAGCGUUAUCCGGAAUUAUUGGGCGUAAAGAGCUCGUAGGCGGUUUGUCGCGUCUGCUGUGAAAACCGGAGGCUCAACCUCCGGCCUGCAGUGGGUACGGGCAGACUAGAGUGCGGUAGGGGAGAUUGGAAUUCCUGGUGUAGCGGUGGAAUGCGCAGAUAUCAGGAGGAACACCGAUGGCGAAGGCAGAUCUCUGGGCCGUAACUGACGCUGAGGAGCGAAAGGGUGGGGAGCAAAACAGGCUUAGAUACCCUGGUAGCUAC
rnacentral:rRNA from 1 species